UACGCUAAUUUUGAAGGGAAUGGGCCAUAAUAAGAGGAAAGUUGGUCAUUAAUAAUCUUGUUAAGUUACAAGAUGGUGGGGAGUCAAUAAGGUAGUGUCACGAGUUUAGACAACUAUAGUUCUUUCUAUAUUCUUUUUCAUUUAUACAAACCAAUGUUUCAAAAGAAAACUCCUUAAAGGGUGCUUCUUUCACUCUUCUCUGCUGUAUUAUACUUUGCCUACUUUUCUUUUUCUUUUUUUUUCCCCUUUUUUUUAAAUGUUAAAUGUAGUAAGGGGGGGUGCCACUGAGGGUCUGUCUCCACC
rnacentral:lncRNA from 1 species